GUUUCUCAGAGAUACUGACAUUUAUAUCUACUGCAAGAGACACACAGAGCAAUCAUGUUAUUCUUCUUUGUAUUGAUAAUUGUCAAAAAUAUUGCAGGUGCUGUUGACAGCAACGUUACACCAGACCAAACCAUCAUAUCUUCAAUUGAAGGCAGCAACAUCACACUGACCUGCACAUAUGAUCAAUCAGCUGAAUAUAUCCACUGGUAUCGACAAAAACCUCAAUCAGAACCAGAGUUUUUGCUGCUGAUUUAUAAAUCCACAGACACUAGAUCUGUACAUGUGCUUGACCCACGACUAUCCACCAAACUUCGUAAAAAUGAGAAGAAAGUAGAUCUGGAGAUCUUUCCUGCUGCAGUAUCAGACUCUGCACUGUACUACUGUGCCAUGGUGCCCACAGUGACACAAAACUCUAACCGACUGUACAAAAAGUCAAACCUGAUAUUUUUUUCUCAGCAGGUGGAGCUGUUUAUCUGUUUCAUUCAAAUAGAGUCAUAUACUAGUUCUAUAUAUUGAUCAUCUUCUUACCAAAAUUGAUAAAGCUUAAUGUUUGAACAAUGUGUUCAUAUGGAUAUUUCCAGGUCUUCUAUAAUUUAUUUCUAGGCCAUACAGGAUAAGCAAAAAUUGGAUUUGAUGUAGUUAUGUCACAGUAAAUAUUUGUAUAGGAUACUUUGGUCUAGACAUUUUCAGAGAAUACACACAUCACCUCUGAGUACAGAAGCUAAAAUUUUGAGUCAAAUAUUGAAACAUUAUAGAGAAACAUUAAAAAUAUGAACAGACAAAAUUAUUCUAAAGAAAAUGCUAAAUAUAAUGUCAGCACAUUUCUACCAGAAACAGAAGAAAACAGUACUAUGUCCCAAUAAACAGUGCACAGCAUCUGAAUCUAUAACAUAAUAUAUCAGUGACAGAAAUUAUGACUUUGCAUUAAAAUGAAACAUUAUCAGACUCAUGGACACUAAUGUCUCUUUAAUCUUAAUCACAGAGGUGAUUGAGAACUAAGACAGAUACAAAAAAAAAAAUGUGUUUAAUUUAAAGUGCAGACAGACAUGUUCCACUACAACCGUGUCACUUCCUGGGUGUGGUCGUCUAGAGAUGUGUAAAGCUCAGCACA